ACUAAAGAUACUGCAGCAGUAGCUCACAGAUGCCCUAGACUCAUCAGCUCAGCAUGCUAAUCAUGGCUUAAAAUAAGGGGGAGCAAUGUGGAAAUGCAGUUGCCUCUCAUCUGCUAAAAUCAGAAGAGUUUCCCUUCUCUCUUCUUCUGAUGGGAGUGAGAUGCUUAAUUGGGGAAGAGAAAGAGGCUAAAAAGAUACUUAUAACCUAUUCCAUCUGCAUUCAAGGCCUGUUAAAUGAUCGGUGAGAGAUACAGGAAAGAGAUCAAGAAGCUCCACUAUGUAAGAGUAUGAGUUUUCAAAAAACUGCUAGUGAACACAGUUACUGAGGAGAAGGAUGUCCAAGCACAGAAUACUGUAUCUCAAGUACAGGUCCAGUGAUCAACCGUAAAACAGUUUUCAGUUACCCAAGAGUUCACAAUAUUCCUUCUUCUUCUUGGGCUGCCACCUUGACGUGGUGGAGAAGCUUGUGCAUACUUAAGACCUUAAGAGUGAUGCCGUCAGGAGUCCUUUACUCCUGGUAGGGUCACCAAUGGCAGUAAGGUCAAGGUACCAGACAAACUGCAGCCCAACACAACCCAGUAUAAGACCUCAACAGCAGAACAGGCGGAUGAAGCAGGCUCACCUCUCAAUGGCUGUGAAAGCAGAUAAAGUUCUGCAAUGGAGGAGAAACCCCCAGUCAUCUUGGACCUCCUUGCCACUGGACACAGGUGCCUCUUCCACCAAGAUUUGUGUUGCUGCUGGUGCACAACAUCUCCCCGACAUUAAAAGUCCUGCGGCAAUGGACGAGUGGCAACAGGGAUAGGCGAAAUGAUCACCAGACAGAGACCCACACACAGGCAGUGACCGCAAGAUGGUUUUCAUGUGCCCGUGGACUAGGAUCUGGUGGCAUUUUCAGCAGUAGCGGUCAUGACUGAGCAGGCCUUUUUAGGAAUCCCUCUGGUUCAACCCAUAUGGGAAAUGGGCUAGAAAAGGUGCCCCAAACAUAGGCUAUCCCAUCAUACCUGACUGCAUAACCGCAUCCAGAGGGAUCACUCCCAAUGCGGUUGUAAAACCAUAAUGUUUCUUGCAACUUGGAAUUUCCAUACCCUAAUAGAAGGAUCAAAAAGUGAAAGACCCAAAUGCAGAACAGCAGUUUUUGCCUGAGAACUCUUGAGGUAUAACACCGACAUUACUGCUCUCAGUGCAACAAGGCAUGCAGAUGAAGGCCACUUGAGGGAAGAGAGCAGCAGUUACACUUUUUUUCUGGAAAGGAAAACCAGCAAGUGACAGGCGAAUCCACAGCGUUGGCUUUGCAAUCAAAAAACUUUUAGUCAACUGCCUGCCUGAGCUCCCUGUAACCAUCAACGAGCACCUUAUGACCCUCGCAAUCUAACUGGUCAAUAAGUCAUUUGCCACUAUCAUCUGUGCAUAUGCACCAGAACUUGACACUGAAGAACAGAAAAAAAUCCUUCUACACUGACCUUAAUGAAAUUUUGUCAUCCAUUCCAAAAACAGAUAAGAUAAUCCUCUCAGAGGACUUUAACACAAGAGUUGGACAAGACUCUAACAUAUGGAGUAGCACUGUUGGGAAGGAAGGAGUGGGCAAGACCAGUUCAAAUGGCAUCCUUCUACUCAGCAAAUGUGCAGAGCAUGACCUUGUUAUCACAAAUACACUCGUCAGAAAAAGCAACAAGCACAAAACAACUUGGCAAUACCUCCGCUCAAAACUGUGGCACCUCCUAGACUAUGUCAUUGUAAGAACACAAGAUCUAAGAGAUGUCUAAAUCACCAUGAGAGGUCAUGAGAGGAGCUAAUGAUUGCUGGACUGACCACUGCCUGGUGAGGUCAGUCAUUUCCAUCAGGAUUGCAUCGAAAUAUAGAAAGUAAUCCACAUCACACAGACGGCAAUACAACAUCCAAAGACUUCAAUCCUAAGUGCAUCAAGAGAACUUCCAAACACUCCUCAGUGAAAAACUGACCAUGUGCACACCUGGAAAUGAAAACACAAGUGUUGAAGAAGAUUGGGAAGCCCUAAAACAGACCAUCCAUGAGGCUUGUGGGGACUCCAUCGGCCUUGCUACCUGCUGCCAUCAGGAAUGGUUUGACAAUAACAACAUUGAGAUUACAUCCCUUUUGGACCAGAAGAGAAAAGCUUUCUGUGACUGGCAAAACCACCACUAUCCAGUCAGAAGCAGAGCUCUUUCCAUCAACUCAAAGAUGAAGUUCAAAGGAGGAUCCGAGAAAUCAAAAACAAAUGGUGGGAGGACAAAGCAAAAAGAAAUCCGAACAUUUGCUGACAGAUAUGAUAUGUGGAGCUUUUCUUGUGAGAGACAAAGACCCUGUAUGGACCAAGCUCAUGUGGCCUCACACAAUGAGAUCCGAAGGUGGUAGUACCCUUCUUAAAGAUAAUGAAUCCAUCAAAGAGCAAUGGAAGGAACACUACCAAAAGCUUCUAAAUAGAGAAUUGACUGUCACUGACAACACAGUCGACUCCAUCCCUCAACACCCAAUCUGGGAAACUCUUGCCAAUCCACCCAAACUUGAGGAGAUCUUGAAAGCAAUUAAACAAAUGAAGAACAAUAAAGCACCAGGUCCUGAUGGCAUACCAGCUGAAAUACUGAAAGUGGGGGGAGAAACCCUGACUGGCGAAGACUUGUCAGAGAGGGAACAUCCACUUUUGAGGAAAAUCAAAGGAAAGACAAAUGUCACGCAGCAAUCGUGGCCCAACUCUGUCUUCCAGCACCACCUGCAACAUCUGCCAAUGAGCCUGUGGCUCAAGGAUCAGACUCCUCAGUCACCAAAGG